AAAUGUACAUACGAACGAUAAAAGGGCAGUGAAAUUAGAUAAUUA
rnacentral:misc_RNA from 1 species